CUCAUUUUGUUCAAUUUUUCUUCUUCUUCUUCUCCUUCCUUUUCUUCUUUUGUUAGAAUUUGAGAGUUGAGAUUAAUUUUGUGUGAUUCAAUUCACAAAGGCUUAGUAGUUAGUUGUAACGAUUAAGAAGGAGAUGGUGUUGAUGCAACUAUCGAAUUCAUAAUUCACUGAAUAAGUUAGUCUAUAUUAACAACGAACGAUUCAAAAGAUGAUUCAGUGGAUUGUGGAUUCCAAGGUAGGCGUGGCUUGCCAUCAAAACAGUUUCAGUAAUCAGAAGGAAUGAAGCGUGCGAAGAUAUCCGUUUUCAUAGCUUAGUGCUCUACCGAAUAUUAAUGUUGUCGUGUAUCUGUAUUAUAUGUGUUCUUUCUUUAUUCUUUAAAACAACACAUUUAUAUAUUUAUAUAACACGAGAGACUUUCAAACAUACUGUAUCAGAGAGUUUGGGUUUGUUUGUUAAUACUUUAUGUGAAGAUGGUUCUUAAGAUUGAUAAUAUGGAUUUGAUGUUUCAA